UACGUAGGGGGCUAGCGUUGUCCGGAAUCAUUGGGCGUAAAGAGCGUGUAGGCGGCUCGGUAAGUCCGCUCUGAAAGCCCGGGGCUCAACCCCGGGAGGCGGGCGGAUACUGUCGAGCUAGAGUCCGGAAGAGGCGAGUGGAAUUCCUGGUGUAGCGGUGAAAUGCGCAGAUAUCGGGAAGAACACCCGUGGCGAAGGCGGCUCUCUGGGCCGAUACUGACACUGAGGAGCGAAAGCGUGGGGAGCGAACAGG
rnacentral:rRNA from 1 species